rnacentral:lncRNA from 1 species
UUAAAAAGAAUUUCUUUUCGAUUUCUUUGCCUUUUUCUCUGUUAAUACCCCCGUCCCUUUUAUAGAUUUCAAAGGGCCUUUUAUAGGCCAAAAAUAAAAUAAAUCGAGGGGAAAAACAAAAAAACAAUCUUGCUUGCUGUUUUUUUCUCUUUGGACUCCUUGAGUCCGUUUUUCAGGUGUUCGUGGAGAGUUUGGCGCGCGUGGAGGUGGUCGACUCCGAGUCCUACGGCGCCUGGAGAGUAUGCUGGAAACGGGGCUUGCUGCGGCGCUGCUUACUACUCUAGGGUUUUUUGGUUUAACUUUGCUUUGGGCCAGGGUUAUUU